AAUAGGAAUAGCUAUGUUAUGCUCUAAUCUGUUAGCCUCUGUAAUCCCUGGCUACAGUUGAUUCAUCCAGGGUUAGAGACUUAGUUUAAGCAAGGCCAGAGUCCUCUCUUAGGAAUUUUGAAACUAGAACUGAGAACAAACUAACUCCACUAUCUGUUUGCAUUCCUGCACUGUAAUAUACAAAGCUUUAGAGCUUUUGAUAGCCAUGUUCCUACCAUGUGGGUCAAAGAAGCAAUGCAACUGGUCUGGAAAAAGAAGGAGAGAAAAUGAAGCAAAGCUACGGAGAGGAACAAGAAAAAGAAGACUGCUGAUUCCUGGUUCCACAUGUUUUUGAGACGCAGCCACAUUAUUGACCUUGCAUUCUGAGACACCACAAUAUUCUUAUAGAUCUCAUAGCAACAAAAUUUUGGAAACUAUAGGUUUAACCAUUGAAAGCAGUGUCAUUGUGAAAGACUUUGGGUACAGAUAAGAUAAGUUAGACUUGGUCUCUUGUAUUUCUGCUUUGCACCAUGAAAAGAACAUGCCUUGAGUAGCCAGUGAUGGAAGAAAAUGGAUCAGGCAUGACUUCAACCCACAGCCUGGAGUCAAGCCCAGGCAAACUGAAGCAUAAAGCAGAGCCAGC
rnacentral:lncRNA from 1 species